rnacentral:rRNA from 1 species
CAGGACUUGACAUCCAAAGAAUCCACAAGAGAUUGAGGAGUGCCCUUCGGGGAACUUUGAGACAGGUGGUGCAUGGUUGUCGUCAGCUCGUGUCGUGAGAUGUUGGGUUAAGUCCCGCAACGAGCGCAACCCUUGUCGUUAGUUGCUACCAUUAAGUUGAGCACUCUAGCGAGACUGCCGGGGUUAACUCGGAGGAAGGUGGGGAUGACGUCAAAUCAUCAUGCCCCUUAUGUCCUGGGCUACACACGUGCUACAAUGGCCGGUACAAAGAGAAGCAAGACCGCGAGGAGGAGCAAAUCUCAAAAACCGGUCCCAGUUCGGAUUGCAGGCUGCAACUCGCCUGCAUGAAGCUGGAGUUGCUAGUAAUCGUGAAUCAGAAUGUCACGGUGAAUGCGUUCCC